CGCCAUCUUGUUGUUGAUUCGAACGGCGGGGAGCGGGCGGCGGCGCUGGGGGCUCGGGGUUGGCAGCCCCCGGCCGGGCAGGCGGAGCCGCCCCGAGGCUGCGUGCGGCGAGGAGCCCUCGGAGCGCGGCGGUGCCAUGAGAGCGGCAUGGCUGACUUGCUUCUGGCAUCCCGUGCCCUCUUGGUUGUAAGAGGUUGGCUCCGUAUUCCGCUGACUGUUCAACAGAGAGAGUUUGGGUAACAUCUCAAAGGUAACUUUUUCUGUUUUCCCCAGAACACAAAUGCAGCCACAUUAAAUAUCGUGCAAAGAAAAACUAGUCGCUUGCUUCUUACUUCUCAUAUUGUAGUUUUAUCCUUAUAGUAUGUGUAUUUUGUGGGAAGGAUGCUCUUACAUUAAAAGCAAACUACAUGAACGCCCAGUAAAAGCACUAAAGGCUCACUAUUUAUUAACUUGUAAUCAAUUAGAUGACAGUUCUUUAUAAUAAGAACUAAGCUGUCAGGAUUUGGAAGCUAAAUCUGUCAUGCAUUAGCAACUCUGGCUGUUUUGGUGGCUGAAUUGCAGCUGACUUACCUUAAUGCUGAUUUGGGGACUUGAUUAUUGUCUCCCCCCCCCCCCCCCCCCCUUUUUCUCCCCUCUAUUGUAUGGUGAGUUGUAUUUCCCCCUUCUCAAAGCUGUCCAUUUAAAAAUAGCACAUCAGCUUGAAUUCAGGCUAGUUGUCCGCUGUAUCAAAGUGUUUUCAAGCAUUUCAGAAGGUGAAUUUAGAAAUACCAGAAGGGCACAUGAAGACAGGGUAGGGCUGUUUGUUCUGUAUCGUUUGACAGUCCUGUCUGAGCAGCUCGAGCCUAUGUGGGGAGACUGUUGUGAUCUCCUUACAGCUAACGACAGGCAAUAAGCAGCUUCGAGCACCAGAAUCAGUGCAGCACUGUCUGCAGAUGUCAGUGAGUUAUUUAAAGCAGGAAGGAUUUGGGAGCGAGGCCUGGGGGACUGCGUGGUCCUGUGUCUUAGUGGCUGAAACAACCAAAGAGCGACUACAGUGAAGAUGCUGAAGCUAUUGCAGAGUAUGAAGUGUAACUGCUCCCCUGUUGUAGCAUUGUGGAUUGUAAGCAAAACUAGCAAAGGAGCUUUGGAAGGCCCUCACAGUGCUCCUUUCCUAGCAGAAGGAAUAUUUCACUUUUACAAACUGAUUUGUGUGUAAGCUCCACGCCAGGCUAAGCAUGAAUAUGCAGGUUUUGCCAAGAUGAAAUGUGUCUGUCUUCAAGUAUUCUUACUUAUGAGAACAUUGGGAUGUUUUGCUUUGUUUCCUGUCUGGACUGAGUCUGAUGCUUUUUCUUAAGCUGUAAAAGUGACAUUUUCUUUGGGUACAAAGCUGCUUUAUGCACUGAAGUCUGAACGCUGACCUGAAUAUGCUUACUGAAAUUUGUAGCUAAAUCUGAAUCAGUAAGCAUUAUCAGGCACAUUUUAAACAUCCUGUAUAGAACUGAGAAAACCACCAACUGCUUUAGUCAGACUGAACAAAUAGCACUGUUUUGUACCUUGCAAAAUCUGAACAGCUUUUGCUCUUUACUCUUCAGGUACUGUGUAAAGUGAUGUUUCCUGUAGUAUCAGCACUGUUGUUUUUCCUGCAGAAAACUGCUCUGUUAAUUAUUCUUUUAGUUAAGUUAGACUGUGUCUUUUUGUUACUGUGCUGUUAGUUAAUCACAGCCAUCACAGGAUUGCAGGGGUUGGAAAGGGACCUCUAGAGAACAUCAUGGCCCCCAUCCUCCCUUCCCCCCACCCAAACCCAAGCAGGUUCCAUACAUAGUCUUUUUUUCUGUUGCAUCUCCUAUUUAUUUCCAUGGGAACUACUACUUUUGGGGUGACCUCUGUGUAUGUAUGUACAGGUGUUUCACUUUAAUAGACGCAGUCUGAUAGUAGCUCAGCUUUAACAGAUGACUUCUUUAUUGGCCUCAGACUUCUGUUACUUAGAUGGUGGCCUCAGUUCUAACUGGCCUUCUGGAAAGCCUGCUGGAAAGAGCUUUGAGCUCUGCUUGAGCAGCUUAACGUCUAGAUAAGGCACUGGAAAUGUAUGACCUGGGGGGUGUCUGUAAGAACUUGUUUCCAACUGCUGCAGUGAAUGGGAAGUUAAAUGUAGGCUUUGUUUAUCUGAUUCUUUACUUAUUCUGAAAAGGAGGAGUUUUGUGUUUCAGGCCUUGAGAAUCAGCUGGCUGCUGUGCUGGGGUAUGCUGAGAUACCUGCUGUCCAGUCUCAGCAUACGGCGUAAGGAGAGAAGUAAUGAAGGUUUGAAGCAUUAGAGGGCUCUUUUAUUUAGAAAGACCUUAAAAAUACAGUAGAAGGAAUUACGUUCAGUGAUUGUUGCUUUGGCAUCUAAGUGCACCCUUCCCCGUGGAUGUUUCUGCAGAGCCCUUGUUACUCUGGAUCUCUGGGAAGGAAGCACCAAAGGAUGGCAGUGCUAUGAUAUUGCAGAUGUUUGAAAUGCCAAGUUUUGCUUUUUGCCCUUCAGAAUGCAUACCAUCUCGCCAAGCUGUGGAGCUGUGACUGGCUGUCCAACUUGUGUAUCUGCUGAGAAAAUGCCCUCAGAUUCAGACUGCCUUUCAUUGUGGCUCAGGUGGCUGGGGGUGUCUGUUCAUUCUUUACCUUCCAAAGUGCACUGCAGACCACAAAACAGCUCCAGAGGUGCUCUGACAGCUGUGAGGUUUUCAGUCUGAGUGAUCGAGCAUCUUGCAGAUGAUAAUGGAAGGCCCGUAUCAGAACCCCUUCCCUGACCCUGAGUUGUAUUUUCUGUAUGUUUUGCCACAUUGGAUUUUUAGAAUCAUCACUAGGAAAGUGAGAGUGUCCUUGUACGAAGUUCUCUUUAGCCUUGUAGCCAGUUUCAAACUAAAUCUGCUGCCUUAGCUUUAAGCACCCUCAGAUCUUAUAUGUGCUUUACUGAAAUUAAGUACUAGCUUUAGUGCAGAUUUUUGUCUAAAAUGUUUGCUGUGACAGAAUUUUUACCUUAUUUUUUUAUGCCCUAACUUGAAAAGUGAAAUCUUGCACUUGAAUCCCUGUAUCUUCUUGGCACUGUUUCUUUGCAUGCAGUAAGGAUAAGAAGAAUUCAGUAAGAAUUCAGAUUUUUUUUUUCCUAGCAUUGAGCUGAGUCUGAGCAACUUUCUUGUUAGACUUUUCUUUCCUUCUAUUUUUUGUAGGUGGGUUCACCAUAGAAGAUAAUGUGCAGGCUUCUUAGUACUUCUACCUGGAAAACAUUAGACUGAACAGAUCUCAAGUUCAGAAGCUGUAACCUGACUUUUCUUGCCUGUGACCCUUAAGGGUCAUCUGCUUAGGAAAAUUAAACUGAUAACAAGUAAGGGGCGUGGAUUUGCAAUGUGAUUAUGUGGCUUUUAAUCCCUGUGGAUGUGCCUAUAAGGUCGUUUCUACUAUAAAUGCUUGGGACAGCUGCAUUAAUCAACAGGUUCAUCUUGUCUGGUGCAGCUCUGCCACUGGAAUCCCUUAAUGUAGGUGCAGUUGCAAUGAAGAGCCAGGCUGUUGAAGUAAAGCUUGUUUUGCUGUGGCUAUUGAGAGGGGAGGCAGUGGUGUGAGGGCUUUUUUCAUUGCUGGGAGUAGCACAUGGGCUGCCAGGACUGACUUUUGAAGGAAAUAAGUAUUAGAAAAACAGAGUCCCAAUAUGCAUUUUCUCUGGUUUAAUCCAUUUUUUUCAUCAGCAGUUAAAAAAAGGGAGAGCAGUGGGGCACAAUGGCAGUCAUCUCUCAGUUGGUCUCAUACAAAGACUUUACCUCUCCGUGCAGACCUUGUUACCUUUAUUUCAGCAUGGCUAUCCACGCAGCACAGUAGAGCAGCCUGCAGUUCCCUUCUCUCAUGAUAAGCGAAGCCAUGUCCUGGGCACUGACUGGUGUUACGGUAUGGAGCACACUGCAUUCAGCUGCUUUGCACUUCUCUGCCUCUCUGACCGUAUUCUGCUGCUUAGCAAACCCCUGGAUCUGGUUUGGUGUUAGUGCCUUGCAACUAUGCCAGCAGAAGGAACUGCUAGAUAGCAGCUGCUCCUUUUCUUUUGGCACAGGACUUUGUUUACCAGAACGAAGGGAAUUUGUUUGGUUAAUCUUGCUUUUGUGCUCUUAAAUCUUCCCGUGGAACUGAUGUGCUUCUAGAUUGUCCUCUUCUGUUUCUGCCGUUUUGAGCAGAAAAGUUGCUAAAGAUUCUUUUGGCCAAACGCAGCACUGCAUUCACUUGAAAGCAGUGCCCUAACUUUAGCUGGCAUUGGCAAUCUCUGUUCAGUAGUUAAUGGAUUGGGGCAAACAAUUCCAGCAAUCUUGAGAAGUUAACUAUCAGGUAAGACUAAGUUGAACUGGAAUGCAAAGGAUUACUAGAAAUAAAAUGAUCUCCAAACUGCAGUCUUUUCAACAGUUUACUUCACCGUUCUGCUGUUCCUUUUUGCCGUGCUGUUUGGCCAAUGGCUGAGGUGUGCCAAUGCUCAGUGGUUUGGCUGAGGGUGCCGAAGCCUUCAGUGGAAGCACCAACACCAGUAACCUCUCCCUGCUUCUCUUUGGUUGCAUCUUGCUUCGUCCAGGUGACGGCUCGGCACUUCUGACCUGUUCAGCUGCAGUGGGAAGGUGUAAGGCUUUCUGUAUUUCUCCUUGCUUUGAAUGUUUUGACAGUGUUCAGACAACAGCUGGGCUGUGUGAUAAGACCCUGUGAUGCAAUUAGGGCUUGCCAAAUAAAAUGCUGUCUUUUUCUAGGUGGGGAAGCUUACACGCCCAGCUGAAGCAAAGUAUUUGAUCAGCUUUACCUUCACGGUAAGACAAAGAACGAGAAGAUUCCAAUGCCAGUCACCUCCCUCCCUUUUCACACUCAAGUUCAACCGACAGCAAAAAUUCAUAGGUGUAUCUGCCUGGAUGUGUCAGAUGAGAGCCCUCAUGGGUAGUGAAAUUGCAGAUGGCACGAGGCUGUGAAGCUUACUGCUCCUGCCUUUCUUUACUUGGAAGGAUAGGUGGAGCUUAUUCAGAUGAUGCAUUCAAGUCACAGUAUUCAUCUGGUUUUGCUCAAAUGUACUGCUCGUGUAUCUUUAGUUUUGGCAGAAGAUUCUCAGAUCAGAAUGUUACUCUGAUGUGGUGUAGGGGUGGCAGGAGGCAGAGGUAAGAUUCACACCAUGGCUAAGCACGUUUGUUUCUGGACAGAAGUGAGAAAAGGGGAGUAGUACUGAUGUGUUUGCUUGUUUGGAUCUUAGGCUUGCCCUCUUUUUAGAAAGAGUGGUCCUGAAUGGGCACAGCUGCAGAUUUCCUGAGGUCAGAGAUCCCGUGGUUCCUUUAAGAAAGCCAGUUGCUGGGAAUCCCUUUAUCUAAUGAUGUUCAUUUCUGUAUAAUUAAUUCUUAAACAGCUCAGGAAAAGAGCAGUGUAUAGAUGUGAGGAGGAGAUGGAUCAGAGCAGUGUCACAGCCCACAGCGUAUCGCAGUAAUUGUAAAGUUGCUUUGCAGUGAGUUUGAAGCAAGCCAAAUGAAAUGUGGAUUUUGAAAGUCGUUAAAGAGGAGAUUAGCUUGCAUGUGAUGAUUCUUCAUUGCAUGCUGGUGUUUUGCUUUGAUGCAUAACUCGCAGGCUUGAUAGAUUUAAAUCUAGAUGUUGCUCUAAUUCCUGGGAAACAAAACAUUCAUGCUGCUUCCUGAGCACUGGAGCCUGCGCCUGCUCCUCAGAGGCUGAGUUUGCAAAGGGCAAGGAGGGCACAGAACAUGUAGUUGUUCUCAGUGUGCUUACUGGAUAGAGUUCUCGGAUACCUACUGCAGGGUCUGUCUCUUCAAAAUGAAAUACAUUUCUAUUCACAAAUCCUGACUUGGUUGGCUUAACAGUAACCGUGCUCUACUGCUUUGGGAAGUCCUUUCCCCUCGUCGUGCUGGGAGCAUGUGCUUGCUUGUCCUUCCUCUUCACUAACCUAUAGGUAAAGCAGAGGCAAAAGAAAAGUGCUUGAUUAUCUGGGUCAGUUUUCUGGGCAGCAGAACUGUGUUACGGAGGUGAAGAGGAAACAAAAUCUCUUAAUGCUAUGAAGUGCAAAAACGUACAGGCAAACUCUAGCAUGUUUUCAUUGCUAGCAGUGUGAGGAAGAGGCAGGUGGUAGAAUUUUUUUUCCACCAGUCCUAAUGAGUUCUGUUUGUCUUUUGCAUUUAAGAUCUCAGAUAAAUACCCGAGGUUGGCAAGUUGCUGCAAAGGGAUUUUUGCUUAAGUCAGGUCUCACUCAGCAGAUUAAGAGAAUGUAAUUUCCGGAGCUAGUAGAGAAGGCUUAGCAGUAGUUAAUGCACAUCAUGCAAGUUUUGUAGUUGCCAUCUUGCUUUUCGUUUUGGGAAAGUGGUGGAGAUAGUGGGGGUAAAGGACAGGGAGUCUGCACUGCGUAUCUGCAUCGUGACCUGGCUUAGUCCUAACCAUGGAGCAGCAGCGAAUUGUCACACUGCUUUCUGGCAGACACGAGUUUGUUAGUGGCUUCAGUGUGUGGAUAAAGAAAACCCAGCCCAAGCCUGUCUCUGUUGCUGAAGGAGAUGUGCUUUAAUUAUAUCCGUAUCUUUGCUGAAGAGAACCCUGCUUGAGGCAAAAGCUCAUUCUGGUUUUCUUUUGGUUGUUUGCCCAAGUGAACACUUUCAUUGUUGAAAAUAGAUACUGAAGGUUUCAAAUCCACCUUGUUCCCAGAAGGGGGCAGGGGAGACUUGCCAGUUCUGGAGUCUGAUAAAUGUACUUCUGUUUAUGCUACGCUUCCGGGCAGAGCAGGCGAUGCCAUGGCUUUGGCAGGGGGAGCAUGGCACAGUGAGGUGCCUGCGCAGUGCUGGAAGCCUGCAGCAGUGAGCUGGGCUGCCAGCAGUGCAUUCCUUGGUUCUCCUUUCUCUUGGGGAGCUUUAAAACGGCUUUAGACUGCUUCGUGUGUGAUACGCUGAGAUAUUAUCCAUGUAAAGGCCAUGGGAGUAUGGAAGCAUCAGGAAGCAUCUUCCUAUACCCAGAGCAGUCUGGUUGCUUGCCAUCUGAUCUGGGUAACAAUCUGAGUUCUUUAUUCUGCUGUGUAGAUUCUUCCUACUUAAAGCUCAGAAAAAUCUUCUCCAUGAAACCGCAGUUCUUUUUCAGGAGGACCUACGCUUGCUCUUUGCACAGUUGCUUUCCCUGUGCUGAACUCGCUCAGCCUUGCCAACACUGGGAAAGAGGCUUUUUUUUUUUUUUUUUUUUGCCAAAUACAUUAAAAAUGGGGUCAUGCACCUCUCCAGUGAGCUGGUUUUACAUCCUGCAAAGAGACCUGUGGUUUCUGUGACAACCUGGAAUGCAGACAGAACAAACUCAGCUACGUUAGUCUGCAUUUCUGUCUUGGAAUUGUGGAAGCAGCUACUUUUUUUCUCAGGACAGUGUUUGUUACAGUGUUCCUGAUGGUAUGAGGUAGCUUCUGUCUGUCCAUUAGCAGUCAAGGACUAAACAAAGGUAAAGUGAACUCUGCUGAAUGUGUUAAUGAAUGAGUGGUUUUAUUGUUGUUUCUGCCCGGCCUUCAGUGGUGAGGUCUCCUGGACCUCUGUGUUUAGAGGUAAGUUUCAAAGAGGGGAUGACAACCAGAGGCAAAUGGAAACAGGGCUGGGGAUUGCUUGAGAGAACGUGACCCUUAUGCAUUCAUGGGGCCUGGUGGUCUGCACUGAAGGGCGCAGAGCUGGCCAUGUUGUAGCCAUCUUCGAAUGUCAUGGUGCUGCAGGGAGGGCUGCGGUUGCUGAACAGUGGCAAAUGUUGUAGUGGGCUUCAGAACAGACCCAAAGAAUCAUCCAGACAACUAACUGCAGGUCAGCCUCACUUUGGUCCCGGGGGCAGUCGUGGGACAGGUUCUUUUUAGCACCUUUCUGGGCAUGUGAAGGAACAGUCAGUAUGGAUUUACCAUGGGUGAGUGAUACCUGGUUGUCUUCUGUGAUGCAUGAACUGUAUUUGUGGAUGAGGAAGAGCAGCAGAGGCCAUCUAGCUCAACAUUACCAAGUGUUCUGAUGCCAUCUCCCACAGUAUUCUCGAAUGCAGGUUUGGAUGUUACGGUCUGGAUGAACGGAGCAUGGCUGUAAGCACACUGAGGAGUGCUGCAAAAAGUGAAUGGAACCAGAGGAGGAUGAAGUACUAAUUCACAGAGAGCUCUCUGUACACAGCUGGACAACCCUCCUGCUCCUUGUUUUUGCCACAAUGUGAUGAGGUUGGGUGGAUGGCAGUAUAUAGAAGGCUGUUUAGCUGAAAUUCCAUCAUCUCGUUGCUGAUGAUCAUAGAUUAAUCUGUCUUUCUGAGGUAUGUUUGGAGAGGUUGACGUGGGUGUUCUUCAAGAUUACCUUGUAUUGUUCUUCACUUGGUCAUCUGUGUGUAUGUAAGCUACAGUUGUGUACAGCACACAGCUCUUCUGGAGAUGCUUGGCAUGCCUGGCUUAAGCAUGAAGGAUGUGUGUGGAAUACUGGGAGGUCAGUCUAAAGAGGAAAAGCAGUGGCUCAAAAUGUAAAGUAAUUUCAUCUUUGUCUGGUUACAGCCUCUUUGGGUUUGACACACCGUGUAGCAUAAUAGCCUAUCAGUCUAGCUUUGCUGUGUACUUUGAUUUCUCUUCAGUGUCCCUGAGGUUUUUCCUGUGGCGUUAUGUUCCAGUGAUGGCAAACAGAGUAUGAUACUGCAGUUGACAUCGCCCCUAACCCCAAACCCAAAGGGACACGAAGAUCUGGGUUUCACAACUUGUGAAAGCUACAGGGAAUACACAGGGGAGCAUCUGGUGAUCUUUUUGGGACUCCCAGCCUGGGAAGAGUGCUGUCAGAGCUCUGCCCAUGUAGGUAUAUCUGCUUGUGUCUGAGGAGCUGUGAUUCCUGAACUCGGCGUGUGACGCUUGCUUUGGGCUUGUUUUCCAUUACUGCUGUUAAUAGCAAUAGACUUGCUGCAGCUGGUGCUGCAUUUGGGCAUUAAGAAUUCAGAUUGUGCUAUCGAAUGUGGUGGCGUGCUGAACGAAGGUGCCAGUUCUGAGCAAAGAGGUUAAUGGUCUUACAUUACCUUUGCCUGGAGGUUUUUUGUCACUGCAGAAUUAAAAGCAGCCAUUAGAAGCUCUGUUUUGUCCCAGCUGUGGAUCUUGCUGUGGAAAUCAAUUACCUGCAGCAAAUGACUUUUUUUUUUUAACUACUUAAGGUGUAUAAUUUAAGCUCCACUACACUUACAACUUCUGUAAUAAUUAUUUGAGGUUUGUUUCCUUGUGGCUUUUGUGCUCCCGUGGUUAACACUGUAGCUUCUGCACUCAGCUCCUGGUUCAAACGCUUCACUCUCCCCUCAGUCUGUGUAGUCUAAAACAGCCCAAACCACGGAGUGCUCUUUGAGAUGCAUCUGAGAAGCCCUUCUGCUGUGUUGGUUAUGUGCUGCUUUUAUAACAGCACGUUUUAAGCAUUUGUCCCAGGUCAGAAGGGGCUGUUGGGAUUAUCCCUUGUGUCUAAUCCCAUUUGAAAUCUCUGUUCCCAGAGAUGCUGUGCCCUUGCAGGCAGCACGCUCCGACCUGCUGGCCUUUUCCUUCAUGGAAAUUCUUCUUGCAGCCUUCGUGACUACGGUAUUUAUAAUACAUUUUAACCUAGAUUAAAUGGUGAGGGGAAAGCUGCGAAUCUUCACCUGCAGUGCAGCAUGGAGUGCUUCAAGUCUGCACACAGUUAAAUGGCAAAUUAACUGAUUCACUAAUUACCGUUGCCUAGGACUUGCUUCGUAGGCUCCAUUCAGAAAUGUCCAAAUGGUCCUUUGUUGGAAGGUGCAAAACCUGAAAUAACAAUUGUCCUGAAAUUGUUCCUUCCUGAUCUCAGUGAAAACCAAGGAUUUAUGGGACUGAUUUUGCUUCAGCCUACCCUUUGGAUUUGCAUUUGGGGUGCCAAGGUGUUUUUUGCAGCGUGGUGCUGCCGCAGUGCCUCAACUUAUUGCAAGCUGGGGUGUUCUCCUUGGUUUGAUGCGGUCUGUUCAGAGCUGCCCACAGCUCACGCACCAGGUUUGCUUCUCUUGCC
rnacentral:lncRNA from 1 species